rnacentral:tRNA from 2 species
GGCAGUGUGGCUCAACCGGUCUAGAGUGUCGGAUUCAUAAUCCGAAGGUUGUGGGUUCAAGUCCCACCGCUGCUA